rnacentral:rRNA from 1 species
UGCAGUCGAGCGAAUUUGAUGGGAGCUUGCUCCCUGAAAAUUAGCGGCGGACGGGUGAGUAACACGUGGGCAACCUACCUGUAAGCCUGGGAUAACUUCGGGAAACCGGAGCUAAUACCGGAUAAUUUCUUUCUUCACAUGAAGAGAGGUUGAAAGACGGCUUUGCUGUCACUUACAGAUGGGCCCGCGGCGCAUUAGCUAGUUGGUGAGGUAACGGCUCACCAAGGCCACGAUGCGUAGCCGACCUGAGAGGGUGAUCGGCCACACUGGGACUGAGACACGGCCCAGACUCCUACGGGAGGCAGCAGUAGGGAAUCUUCCGCAAUGGACGAAAGUCUGACGGAGCAACGCCGCGUGAGUGAAGAAGGUCUUCGGAUCGUAAAACUCUGUUAUCAGGGAAGAACAAGUACCGGAGUUACUGCCGGUACCUUGACGGUACCUGACCAGAAAGCCACGGCUAACUACGUGCCAGCAGCCGCGGUAAUACGUAGGUGGCAAGCGUUGUCCGGAAUUAUUGGGCGUAAAGCGCGCGCAGGCGGUUCUUUAAGUCUGAUGUGAAAUCUUGCGGCUCAACCGUGAGCGGUCAUUGGAAACUGGAGAACUUGAGUGCAGAAGAGAAGAGCGGAAUUCCACGUGUAGCGGUGAAAUGCGUAGAGAUGUGGAGGAACACCAGUGGCGAAGGCGGCUCUUUGGUCUGUAACUGACGCUGAGGCGCGAAAGCGUGGGGAGCGAACAGGAUUAGAUACCCUGGUAGUCCACGCCGUAAACGAUGAGUGCUAAGUGUUAGAGGGUUUCCGCCCUUUAGUGCUGCAGCAAACGCAUUAAGCACUCCGCCUGGGGAGUACGGCCGCAAGGCUGAAACUCAAAGGAAUUGACGGGGGCCCGC